UGCUCUGAUGAAAUCACUAAUAGGAAGUGCCGUCAGAAGCGAUAACUGACGAUAAUAACUCCUGGCUGACU
rnacentral:snoRNA from 9 species